UGACUGUGCAAAGGUAGCAUAAUCAUUAGUUUUUUAAUUGAAAGCUGGAAUGAAGGGUCGGAUGAGAAAGUUUCUGUCUCAGUGGUAUUUUCUUUGAAUUUUAUUUUUAAGUUAAAAAGCUUAGAUUUUAUAAAAAGACGAGAAGACCCUAUAGAGUUUAAUAGGUUUAUAAUGUAUUUAUUUGUAGGUAUAAAUUUAAUUACUUUAUAUCUUAUUUGGUUGGGGUGACUUAAGAAUUGAUUAAACUUCUUUAUUUAUUAACAUUGAUUAGUGAGUGGUUGAUCCUAAAUUUUGGAUUAUAAGAAUAAAUUACCUUAGGGAUAACAGCGUAAUUUUUUUAGAGAGUUCUUAUCGAUAAAAAGGAUUGCGACCUCGAUGUUGGAUUAAAGUUAAAUCUUGGUGCAAAAGCUAGGGAUUUA
rnacentral:rRNA from 1 species